GUCUUUUUGAAUAAUAAUUUAAAGUCUAUACUGCUCAAUGUAUAUUUUAUAAAUAGCUGCAGUAUUUUGACUGUACAAAGGUAGCAUAAUAAAUAGUCUUCUUAAUUAGGAACUAGUAUGAAAGUAUACAUGAAAUUUAAUUUGUCUCAAUUAAAAAAAUAAAAUUUAAAUUUUUAGUAAAAAUGCUAAAAUUUAAUUAAGGGACGAGAAGACCCUGUAGAAUUUUAUAAUUUAGUUAAAAUUUAUAUUUUUUUAAUAUAAUAAUAAAAUAUAUUAAUUAAAUUAUUUAACUGGGGCAGUUACUAAAUUAAUAAAAAUUUAAGUUUAAAAAAUUAAUUUUAAAAAUUAUUAACAUUUAUUUAUGAAAAUAAUGAAUUAAAUAUAAUAAAAAUAAUUAAAUUACCUCAGGGAUAACAGCGUAAUAGUUAUUUUAAAGAACUUAUUUAAAAUAAUGUUUGCGACCUCGAUGUUGAAUUAAGAUAAAAAUUAGGAGUAAAAGAUUAAUAUUUAAGACUGUUCGUCUUUUAAUAUCUUACA
rnacentral:rRNA from 1 species